ACUCCUACGGGAGGCAGCAGUGGGGAAUAUUGCACAAUGGGCGCAAGCCUGAUGCAGCCAUGCCGCGUGUAUGAAGACGGCCUUAUGGGUUGUAAACUACUUUUAUACAGGAAGAAACGUACCCUCGUGAGGGUGCCUGACGGUACUGUAGGAAUAAGCACCGGCUAACUCCGUGCCAGCAGCCGCGGUAAUACGGAGGGGUGCGAGCGUUAUCCGGAUUUAUUGGGUUUAAAGGGUCCGUAGGCGGAUUAAUAAGUCAGUGGUGAAAUCCCAUCGCUUAACGAUGGAACUGCCAUUGAUACUGUUAGUCUUGAAUGAGGGUGCAGUGGUUGGAAUGUGUAGUGUAGCGGUGAAAUGCAUAGAUAUUACACAGAACACCGAUUGCGAAGGCAGAUCACUAACCCUAAAUUGACGCUGAGGGACGAAAGCGUGGGGAGCGAACAGGAUUAGAUACCCUGGUAGGACAGAG
rnacentral:rRNA from 1 species